UCUGUUACAGGUAAUUCUUGUUUAGUGACUGUUUCUUUAGCAACUAUUUAGAAUUAGAAUGCCAUUGAACAAACAAUAGCUAUGACUGGGCUUCAAAAUCACAGUUGUAGUGUAUGCUUCAAUUCCACCUGCCCAUAUUUCUCUCCCCCACCCCUCCCCAGGCUGGCAGCUGCCUCAGGCAGGCAUGCCUUGUCAGCAACAAGAGGAAGAAGAUGUCAAAGGGUCAGACCUCCUUGUCAAAAUAGAAUGAUCGAGGAUGGAGGAGCAUGGAUCUUCAUUGACUUCAGAAGCCUAAUUGUUGAAUGGAGCUAAUAAUAAUUUCUAAUAUAAAGAUUCUUUUUUAUGUUGAGAAUUGUAUGGAAAUUCUAAUGUAGAAUUAAAUAUAAUAUACAGAAUUAUAGAGAUGUCUAUGAAGUUAUAAAGGAAUGGAUCAAUUCCAUAUGUAAA